UUGUAAAAUCCGUUUUAAAUUUUCUUUAUUCAUUGUUUCUUGUACCUCUGUUACGAAAUAACGAGAAAUAAUAUUGGUGAAUUAACAAUAAAUUUGUUUAUAAAGACAUAAGUACAUAUUACUUGUUAUCGUUAUUGUUAAAUAUACAGGAAAUUAAUAUUAUUUACAUGUAUAUUUAUCAAUCAACGCUAUAUAUAUUAUAGACUGCUUAUAUUACAUAUUGCUAUAUUAUUUACCUACUGCUGUAAUAAUAUGGAUUCUACAGAGAAACGAAAAUUAUUUAAUAAAUUUUAUCAGCGAUAUAAACGAUCUAAACAAGUUACGAAAGUCGAUGAACGGGUCUCCACGUCUAAAGAUAAUUAUUAUAAAACCAGUGAAAGUUCCACAUCCCAAAAAAACAUUUUUAAUGAUUCAGAAGAAAGCACAGAUUCUGAACAAAAUUUUUGUGAUAUUACUCAAGUUCCAUCUCAAAUUCAGGAAGAAACCUUUGUUCAGACUGAAUUUUUAGAUAUACCACAGCCGGCACAUGAGGUACCGAAGUCAACUUUAAUAGAACAGUUAUCAGAUUGGGCCAUAAUUCACAACAUUAAUCAUAUUGCUUUAUCUGAUUUAUUGAAAAUUUUAAAUCGAACACUUGACAUUAAUCUGCCCAAAGAUCCAAGAACUCUUUUAAAAACACCACGAAAUACUGGUUCUCUAAUUGAUAAGGUAGAACCAGGUGUUUACUUUCAUUUUGGGGUGGAAAAUAGUCUUAUUAAUUUGAUAAAUCGUACAGGUGGUAUUGGCUCCGGGGUUAGUAAUAUUUUAGAAAUCUGUGUAAACGUUGAUGGUCUUCCUUUAUCAAAAAGCUCUGGUAGUCAGUUAUGGCCUAUAAUGAUUAACCUUUUUCAAAAUAAAAACAUUGUGGAGGUAUGUGGAUUAUAUCAAGGCAAUAAAAAACCUGAAAAUGUUAAUCUGUUUAUGUGCAAGUUUGUAAAUGAAAUCAUCAGCUUGAUGACUAAUGGUUUCACUUAUAAAAACCAAAUAUUUUAUGUAAAAAUUAAAGCUUUUAUUUGUGAUGUCCCUGCAAAAGCUUUUAUAAAGUGUACCAGAGGUCAUAGUGGCUAUAUGUCUUGUUCUAAAUGUGAUACUGAAGGUGUCUUUAAAGCGAAUAGAGUUUGUUUUCCUCCAAUAGAAGGAUUUCGUCUUCGAACAGAUGAAACUUUUAGGUCUAAAGAGCAAGAGAGCCACCACACAGAUACUUCUAUCUUGGAAUCUAUACCUAACUUGAAUAUGAUAACUUGUUUUCCACUAGACUACAUGCAUUUAGUUUGUCUCGGCAUUGUUAAAAAAUUAAUAAGUAAUUUGUGGUUAUCAGGAAAACCACCUCACCGAUUUUCAAGCCAGCAAAUUUCUAAUAUUUCCCAACAACAUUUAUCAUUCCAAAAUCAAGUACCCACUGAAUUUUCUAGAAAACCUAGAUUGCUUUCUGAUAUUAAGCAUUGGAAAGCAACGGAGCUUAGAAUGUUUCUGUUUUACACUGGACCAGUGGUGUUAAAAGGUAGUGUCACUGAUGAAAUUUACCAAAAUUUUGUGUCUCUGCAUGUAGCAGUUACGCUUUUCUCCAAAAAUCAAAAUAUUGAUUAUGCUGCUGAAUUGUCAAAAUAUUUUAUUGAAACAUUUUCACUGCUGUAUGGAGAAGAAAAUGUAUCACAUAAUGUGCAUAACCUUUUGCAUAUUGUUGAUGACGUUAAAAUUUUUGGUAGCAUUGAAAAUUUCAGUGCUUUUCCAUUUGAAAAUAAUAUGUUAUUUUUAAAAAAACUGGUGCGCAAAGGGGAUCAGCCCCUUCAACAAAUUAUUAAUAGAAUUGUAGAACGAAACAAUUGUAUUUUGGGAUCUGCAAGUCUUGGUGUAGAAUACCCUGUAUUAAAAUUUGAACAUUCUAAUGGGCCACUGAUUGUAAGUGCUUUUGGUAUAAAACAGUUUAAAAAAAUUUGUUUGGAAAAUUUCUCAUUGUCCUUAGACGACUCAAAUAAUUGCUGUUUUAUGAAUGAUAACAGUGUAGUUAUUAUUAAAAAUAUUGUUUCUUUAAAUAAUGUAGUAACAAUAAUUGGUCAGAAGUAUUUAGUUUUAGAAAAUUUUUAUAAUUUGCCUUGUGAAUCUUCUAAAUUAAACAUUUUUGUUGUAAGUAAAGAAGGUCCUAUUGAAUCGUGGCAGUUACCUCAAGUAGUUUACAAGUUUUUUAAACUUAGAUUAAACAAUAAGGUGGUUGUGUUUCCGUUAUUACAUACAACUAUUUAAUUGUUACAGGUUUGUUGUUGUUUAUUUGGGUUUAUAUGACUGCACACACUAAAUCCAUUCACCAAUUAUACUAUUUUUUAUUUUAUUAGUCUUUUUUUCAUAUCUUAUCCUGAAACUAAUGCUAAUAUUAAUCUCUAGUAAACAAUUAUUCUACUAAUAAACAAUAAUUUUUGUAUUUUUUUAAAAAAAAAUUUUAAUAUAUUUUUUUUGUAUUUUUUUAAUGAAGUUCUCCUAACGAGUUUCACAGCAACAUUCUUCUUUAGUCCUCUACUUAAUUCGAAAGCUUUGUACUAUGGACUGUUCUAGUUCGUCAUUCAUUUUUAUCUACAUAUUUUUUUUUUUAUUAUUAUAUCUGUUUUCUAUUAUUUUUUUAUAUAUUUUUUUUUAAUAUUUUUUCCUUUUUUUUUUGGCAAUAUAGGUAACAGACCUGGGCAUCACAUUUAAUGAAAGCAUUAAUUUCAAUGACCAUAUUUCACAGAUUACAUUGAAAAGUCUUAAACUUCUUGGAUUUACAUUAAGAAACUGUAGUGAGUUCCCAAUUGAUGUAACAAAGUUGUGUAUUGUUCUCUUGAACGCUCUCAAUUAGAAUAUGGCACGCUAGUCUGGUCUGCUAUGUAUGACCAGUACAUCAAUUCCAUUGAGAAAGUUCAGAAUAAGUUUCUUAGGUAUUGUGGCUACAAAAUGGGAAUUCUAGUUGCAAAUAUAGACAAAAAAGUAAUUUUAGAUAGAUUAAAUCUAACAACACUUUAUAUCGGACGAAUUCAGUUUGAUUCUGUAUUUAUUUAUAAAUUAUUAAAUAAUUUAAUUCAAUGUCCAGAACUUUUAAGUAAAAUAAGCAUCAAUAUUCCACAGCGUAGACUAAGAUCUUUUGAAUUUUUUCAUAUAAACUUUCAUGCUACCAAUUAUACCUGCAAUAAUCCAUUUGAUAGGGUCUUAAGGUUUUUAAAUAGUCACUGUGAUAGAGAUCCUUUUAAUUUAAGUUUAAAUCAAUUUAAAACCAUGAUUUAUAGUAAACUCUAGAAUUAUUUCUAAUUAUUGUAUUUUAAAGUGUAGUUACGAGGUAAAUUAGAUUAAAAAUAUAGUAUUAUAAUGCUGUAAUGGGGUGAUCCCGUCUAUUUAAUAAAUAAAAUAAAAUAAAAUUAACAGAAAUACUUACUCUGUAUUUUACAAUUACAAUUUCAGUUUAAUAUCUAAAAUGAAUAUGUUUAUACAAUAGUCGGUAUACCAACUCAUUGUUUUCUAAUGUUAAUAAAUAGUUUAAAUUAUUGGAAUGGUGGACAUCAGUCAAAGAAUAUGGUGAAUUGAAAAACAUGUUUUAUUAAAAAUAAGAGAACAUGUCAAAAUUUUGUGUUGUAGGUUACCCAACUGACCACAAAUACAUUGUGGACUAUCAGCUAGAUUAACUUUAAAAAUUUAUGAUGGUAUAAGACAGUGGUUAAAUCUCAUUCUGCAUAUCUCUAUCUACAUUCUAACACCAUGUAUGAGGAUUUUUAGGCAAAACAAGUUUUGAGCAUAUUGAAUUUAUUCUCUACUGAAUUAUUCUAAUCCCAAGUAUGAGAAAUAAUGUUUUCUCAUACUUGGGAUUAAAAUCAUUCGGUAGAGCGUGCGCAAUAUAAUCAGAAUCAACCUCUAACUCGUUUCGCCUAAAAAUCCUCAUACUUUGUAUUAGAAUGUAGGUAGCGAUAUGGUUCUUGUUACAGAUUUGUGUAUUGCUGUUAAUUUUUUUAAUGUCAUCGUUAUUUUUCUAAAACUGAAAAUUUGUCACUUUUUAAAAAACAUGUAGUCAUAAAUUUGGUACGUAGUAGAUUUAAUCAAUAUUUUUUCUCGUAUUUUUCUAUUUUGGAGUAUCAUAACUUUUAAAUUAAAAUAUUUUUUAUGUUUUAUGAAAAAAAAAUUAUUUUCUGUGAUCAAAGUCGUCAUGGCAUCUCCAAAAACGUGGACUGUUGUGUGCUUCUGUUCGGAUAAUGCUGUCCAGGCAGUCCCAACAACAUGGAUAAAUGGAGACACUUGUCUUUGGCCCGCCUUACCACGGGAAAAAUUGAAUAACGCAUUAAAGAACUGCGAAUACAAUAGUUGUUGGCCCAUGCAUAAAGUGCGAAUAUUUCGGGAUUCAACUUAUGAAGACUAUGCAACAGCGAGAACGAAGGCAGCGAAAGCUGAGUACAGCAGUGACCUAAAUUCAGAUCCUGACGUAAGAAGAUCCAGAAAAAGACGAACGUUCACUUCUUCGGAAUCAGAAGACGAGAGCAGGAUAAAGAAAAAGCCGAAAAAAAA